rnacentral:rRNA from 1 species
GAUCAUGGCUCAGGACGAACGCUGGCGGCGUGCCUAACACAUGCAAGUCGAGCGAGGAGAUCCUUCGGGAUGAUCCUAGCGGCGGACGGGUGAGUAACACGUGGGCAACCUGCCUCAUAGAGAGGAAUAGCCUUCCGAAAGGGAGAUUAAUACCUCAUAACAUUGCAGUUUCGCAUGGAACAGCAAUUAAAGGAGCAAUCCGCUAUGAGAUGGGCCCGCGGCGCAUUAGCUAGUUGGUGAGGUAACGGCUCACCAAGGCGACGAUGCGUAGCCGACCUGAGAGGGUGAUCGGCCACAUUGGGACUGAGACACGGCCCAGACUCCUACGGGAGGCAGCAGUGGGGAAUAUUGCACAAUGGGGGAAACCCUGAUGCCAGCAACGCCGCGUGAGUGAUGACGGCCUUCGGGUUGUAAAGCUCUGUCUUCAGGGACGAUAAUGACGGUACCUGAGGAGGAAGCCACGGCUAACUACGUGCCAGCCGCCGC